rnacentral:rRNA from 1 species
UACGUAGGGGGCGAGCGUUGUCCGGAUUUAUUGGGCGUAAAGAGCGUGUAGGCGGCUUGGUAGGUCUCGCGUCAAAACCUGCGGCUCAACCGCAGUUCGCGUGGGAAACCACCUAGCUAGAGUCCGGAAGAGGAGAACGGAAUUCCCAGUGUAGCGGUGAAAUGCGCAGAUAUUGGGAAGAACACCAGUGGCGAAGGCGGUUCUCUGGGACGGUACUGACGC